GGGGGGGGGGGGGGGGGGGGGGGGUAGAGGCGGGUGGGGCGGGGAGACGAGGAUGUUGCGCCUCCGGCGUUCGCGGCGGACGUGUGAGGAACACGUGGAUAACCGACCUAUAAGACUGGGAUAACUGCGGGAAACCGGGGCUAAUACCGGAUAACCUUUUGAACCGCAUGGUUCAACAGUGAAAGACUGUCUUGCUGUCACUUAUAGAUGGAUCCGCGCCGCAUUAGCUAGUUGGGCAGGUAACGGCUUACCAAGGCAACGAAGCGUACCCGACCUGAGAGGGUGAUCGGCCACACUGGAACUGAGACACGGUCCAGACUCCUACGGGAGGCAGCAGUAGGGAAUCUUCCGCAAUGGGCGAAAGCCUGACGGAGCAACGCCGCGUGAGUGAAGAAGGUCUUCGGAUCGUAAAACUCUGUUAUUAGGGAAGAACAAAUGUGUAAGUAACUAUGCACGUCUUGACGGUACCUAAUCAGAAAGCCACGGCUAACUACGUG
rnacentral:rRNA from 1 species